GAAAUGCGAUACGUAGUGUGAAUUGCAGAAUUCAGUGAAUCAUCGAAUCUUUGAACGCACAUUGCGCCCUUUGGUAUUCCAAAGGGCAUGCCUGUUCGAGCGUCAUUUGUACCCUCAAGCUUUGCUUGGUGUUGGGCGUCUUUUUGUCUCUCCCCUUGUUGGGGGAGACUCGCCUUAAAACGAUUGGCAGCCGACCUACUGGUUUUCGGAGCGCAGCACAAAUUUGCGCCUUCCAAUCCACGGGGCGGCAUCCAGCAAGCCUUUGUUUUCUAUAACAAAUCCACAUUUUGACCUCGGAUCAGGUAGGGAUACCCGCUGAACUUAAGC
rnacentral:misc_RNA from 1 species